UGCAGGGUCAAGACGCUCGCAGCAGAAACCUCCGGAGAUGAAACCCCUCUGCUGCUGCCGGUUCAGGGUGACACGUCAGCUGUAGUGCUGACAUCAUCAUCAUCAUCAUCAUCAUCACGUUACCUGCUGCUUCCUGAAGGUCCAACAUGUCAGCAGCUCUGUCAGACGGGUAACUAUCAAACCUGACUGAUACUGAAACCUUCAGGAUUUACACGUUUCACUCUUCAUCCUCUUCACUAACAGCUGCUGUGAUACUGAUUAUAAUCUGUUAUUACUGUUAAAAAUAUGAAACUGAUUUGUGAUAUUAGACCAAAGUUUAUCUCUAGAUAAGUGUGGAAGUGGUGGAAGAAGUAAAUUAUAGAUUAUUAUUAGUAGAAAUAAAAUACUUUUACACGUCCUGCAUUCAGAAUUUAACUUCAGUAAAAGAUGAUUUCUGUUUAUUGGAUCAUAAAAACUGAUCCAUUAUUAAUCUGUAAUCCAUCACAUUAACAAACAUAUUAUACUGUAUUAUAUGUAAUGUGUAACUCCAGCUGUAGUACAGAGUGAAUGUGGAGGAGUAGUAAUACAGUUAUAUCGAGUACAUCUGCAGCCUCAGUAAUCAAUAAUCCAUCACGUCUCAACUCUUCCUCACUUUAAAUCAAAAUCUGUCGACGUGUUUCUGAGUGAAACAGGACGGACCGGCGGGACGAAUCUGAGCUCUGUGGAUGUCAUGAUAUUACUGGUUGACACUGGUUUGUUCAUGUCAGUGUAUGUUUGCGUCAUUUUUUGUUUUACAGGAAGAAAACAUGAUUGGAUUGUGAUAUAAGAAUGUGUUGUUGAAUAGGUGCAUAAUAUGAGCAGGAUGUGAUGUUAAAGGGUUAAAAUGACAUUUUUCAUUUCAUCUCAGAUCGACGUCUUCAUACAACAAAAAUAUGUCAAACC